AACGAACGCUGGCGGCAUGCCUAACACGUGCAAGUCGAACGAAGCCUUCGGGCUUAGUGGCGCACGGGUGCGUAACGCGUGGGAAUCUGCCCUUUGGUUCGGAAUAACAGUUGGAAACGACUACUAAUACCGGAUGAUGACGAAAGUCCAAAGAUUUAUCGCCAGAGGAUGAGCCCGCGUAGGAUUAGCUAGUUGGUGUGGUAAAGGCGCACCAAGGCGACGAUCCUUAGCUGGUCUGAGAGGAUGAUCAGCCACACUGGGACUGAGACACGGCCCAGACUCCUACGGGAGGCAGCAGUGGGGAAUAUUGGACAAUGGGCGAAAGCCUGAUCCAGCAAUGCCGCGUGAGUGAUGAAGGCCCUAGGGUUGUAAAGCUCUUUUACCCGGGAUGAUAAUGACAGUACCGGGAGAAUAAGCCCCGGCUAACUCCGUGCCAGCAGCCGCCGCGG
rnacentral:rRNA from 1 species